AAGCCUUUAGAGAUAGAGGCGUGCUCGAAAGAGAGCCGUAACACAGGUGCUGCAUGGCUGUCGUCAGGCUCGUGUCGUGAGAUGUUGGGUUAAGUCCCGCAACGAGCGCAACCCUUGUCAUUAGUUGCUACAUUCAGUUGGGCACUCUAAUGAGACUGCCGGUGACAAGCCGGAGGAAGGUGGGGAUGACGUCAAGUCCUCAUGGCCCUUAUAGGUGGGGCUACACACGUCAUACAAUGGCUGGUACAAAGGGUUGCCAACCCGCGAGGGGGAGCUAAUCCCAUAAAGCCAGUCGUAGUCCGGAUCGUAGUCUGCAACUCGACUACGUGAAGUCGGAAUCGCUAGUAAUCGUGGAUCAGAGUGUCACGGUGAAUACGUUCCCGGGUCUU
rnacentral:rRNA from 1 species